rnacentral:tRNA from 1 species
GGUGGCUCAGUGGUAGAGUACUUGCCUUGCAUGCAUGAGGCCCUAGGUUCAAUUCCUCAGCACCA